AUCCAGCUGACGAGUCCCAAAUAGAACGAAACGAUUGUCCUUAAU
rnacentral:hammerhead_ribozyme from 1 species